UACCUAAACAAAUUUAAAAAGUUAAGCUUUUAAAUAACUAUUAAAGAUAUUAUCCCCUUGUAGUGUAGUUUAAUAACUAUCUACAUAAUAACUUAAUAUAAAGUAUAAUAGUUUAUAUUUUAUAAUAUGACAUUAACAAUUUUGUUUAAUAUUUGAAAAUGUUAGUAUUAGUAAUAUUAGUAUAUGUGCUAAAGGAACUCGGCAAAAAACCACUCAACUGUUUAUCAAAAACAUAGCUAUAUGAAUUAAUAUAUAGUUAUUUCUGCUCAAUGACUUAAAUAGCCGCAGUACUCUGACUGUGCAAAGGUAGCAUAAUCAGUUGGCUUUUAAUUAGAGUCUGGUAUGAACGAAAAUAUGGGUAGUAACUGUCUUAGCACAUUUUUUCGAACUUAUUAAACACGUGCAAAUGCUUGUAAUUUAACAAUAGACGAGAAGACCCUAGAAACUUGGACAAGUUUUUGUUGGGGCGACAGAAUUACACUUAACUAAUCUUAUAAUACACGACGCGAUGUUGAAAGAAUAAGUUACUCUAGGGAUAACAGCAUAAUUUUAUUAGUUUGUGACCUCGAUGUUGGACUAGGUACUAUACCCUUAAGGCAAGGAUAUAUUAUGCUCUGUUCGAGCAAAAUUACCUACAUGAUCUGAGUUCAGACCGG
rnacentral:rRNA from 1 species